GCCGAGAUGGUGGAAUUGGUAGACACGCUAUCUUGAGGGGGUAGUGCCCGUAUGGGCGUGCGGGUUCAAGUCCCGCUCUCGGCACCA
rnacentral:tRNA from 4 species